CAGUCGCCGCGGGAAUACGUAGGUGGCAAGCGUUGUCCGGAAUUAUUGGGCGUAAAGCGCGCGCAGGUGGUUUAAUAAGUCUGAUGUGAAAGCCCACGGCUCAACCGUGGAGGGUCAUUGGAAACUGUUAAACUUGAGUGCAGGAGAGAAAAGUGGAAUUCCUAGUGUAGCGGUGAAAUGCGUAGAGAUUAGGAGGAACAUCAGUGGCGAAGGCGGCUUUUUGGCCUGUAACUGACACUGAGGCGCGAAAGCGUGGGGAGCAAACAGGAUUAGAUACCCCGGUAGUCCCUGUCUCUUAUAC
rnacentral:rRNA from 1 species